UUCCUGCCUCUUCAAAGGAGCACCGUGUACUUUCCCCUGAACAUCCCUGGGAGAAGAAGCUGUGUUCAUGCCCUGAUGGAAGGAGAGGGAGAACAUUCGGCUCGUUCUGUGGCAAUGACCUGCGUGGUGGAACAGGGCCAGUUGGUUCCAGAGAACCACAGCCCUGUGAAUCGUAAUGGCACUGUUACCUUCUCCUCCUGGUGGGAGAAAUGAAAUUAGCCAGGAAAGGCACGUCUGACGACAAAGGACACGAAGCCAGGGCUUCUGGAUCUAAAUGGGAGAGACGGUGUCUGGACACUAACAGGAAACGCCACCAGCCAUAAAGAAACAGACCAUACGAUACACAAAUACAAUCUAGGCUCCAGGAAGGCAGGAAGACUGGCCUGCACCAUACCCAGGGCUUAAAACUGUGCCUGGAACAUAGCUCAGUGAAUGUUUGUUGAAUGAACAAAUGACCCGACAGAGCUUGGAGGGAAAGAAGCUGCACUUGGCCCCGUCCCUCCUCCCUUCUCAGCCUGGGCGGGUUUCCCUGUGUGCCCACAGCAGGAGCUCGCAGGUGCCAUCCUGGAAGGAGGGGCCUGGCUGGGAGGAACACAGUCGUGUGACGGGAGGCAGGAGGUGUGGAGUGGGCUCCGCGGGCUCUGCGGUCCGAAGCUGGCUCACCUCCUGGGCAUGUGUGAGCCUGAGCCAGUCCUUUGGCAUUUCCAAGACUUGGUUUCUCCAUCUGUAGGUGGUCUUCUUGAGUCUCUACUUCCAGGGAGAUGGCGGGAGCUAUCAAACAGCGCAAUGCCUGAUGCCUGAGAUGCUCUCGCAGUGAAAGCUGUGGGUGACCCUCCAGUCCCGCUGGCAUGCACCCUUCCUGCCAAAGCCAACAGCUUCCUACAAACAGGCCUCUGUAGGUCCUUCCCUAGACCCUUUACUUACUGCCUGGACCCUUGCAGGGAUGACAGUCUAGAGUUGGCAGAGGGACAUCUGGGGGGCUCAGUCAGUUAAGCAUCUGACUCUUGAUUUCAGCUCAGG